CAGUCGCCGCGGGAAUACGAAGGGUGCAAGCGUUACUCGGAAUUACUGGGCGUAAAGCGUGCGUAGGUGGUGGUUUAAGUCCGUUGUGAAAGCCCUGGGCUCAACCUGGGAAUUGCAGUGGAUACUGGGCAACUAGAGUAAGGUAGAGGAUAGUGGAAUUUCCGGUGUAGCAGUGAAAUGCGUAGAGAUCGGAAGGAACAUCUGUGGCGAAGGCGACUAUCUGGGCCAUUACUGACACUGAGGCACGAAAGCGUGGGGAGCAAACAGGAUUAGAUACCCCCGUAGUCCCUGUCUCUUAUAC
rnacentral:rRNA from 1 species